GUCGAACACAAUCUCGUACCCAGAGCAACGCCCGCGCGCGGGCCAGGACGGCACCGGCUCUGGGGAAACUGACAACCGGAACCCCUAAAUUUAGGGGUUCCGGUUCUUUGUCGGCAUGCACGAUUGAUAAACGUUAAACCAAUCACAGCACAAGAAAAAUUCAAUUUCCCCAGAGCCAACGCCACCCCAGCCUGCGCACAGGCACCGCUCUGAGUACGAGAUUGGGUCGAACAUUGAUAUUAUGUGAUGUUGAGCGAUGUUAUUUAAGCGGGAUUUGGAAAGGCCAGUGGAAUUUACUGAACAGCGGUUUAUUGCUAUCGUCAGCCAUAUUGGAAACAUUUUACGAGAAUAAAUGGUAGUGACGGGCGAUACCAGCUUUUUUGGUUUCGAUACGAUACCAGUCCGAUACCAUGAAUUUUGGUCGAUACCGAUACCAAAAUCGAUACCGAUACUCAAUUUUUUCCAUUUAUUAAAAUAACUUUUAAAACACGAACAUUAAUGUUUAAAACAAGUCAAAGAAUACUCUAACUGGAGUACCUGCCAAAUAAUCGAACAUAACAUUUGCAAUUAUGAUUUUAAAUCAAAACAACAAUGUUUUCCUCAAAUAUAUUGCUAAUUAGCUACAUGUUUUUGUUUAAGAACAGCAUCAUGUCAACAUUUUUUGCCUUCAGGGGCCUUCAGUCUGUUGCCUUCAUGAAGCAUUAAGUGAUUGGUCAGGAAUACUGACCAAAAACA